rnacentral:rRNA from 1 species
CAGACGGGUGAGUAAUGUCUGGGAAACUGCCCGAUGGAGGGGGGUAACUACUGGAAACGGUAGCUAAUACCGCAUAACGUCGCAAGACCAAAGAGGGGGACCUUCGGGCCUCUUGCCAUCGGAUGUGCCCAGAUGGGAUUAGCUAGUAGGUGGGGUAACGGCUCACCUAGGCGACGAUCCCUAGCUGGUCUGAGAGGAUGACCAGCCACACUGGAACUGAGACACGGUCCAG